GACGAACGCUGGCGGCGCGCUUAACACAUGCAAGUCGAACGGAAAGGCCUGCUUUCCCUUGUGGAUUGCGGGUACUCGAGUGGCGAACGGGUGAGUAACACGUGAGUGAUCUGCCCCCAACUUGGGUAUAAGCCUGGGAAACUGGGUCUAAUUCCCGAUAGGACUGCAGGGUGGUGCCUGUGGUGGAAAACGAUUUUCUAGUGGUUGGGGAUGAGCUCGCGGCCUAUCAGCUUGUUGGUGGGGUAAUGGCCUACCAAGGCGGCGACGGGUAGCCGGCCUGAGAGGGUGGACGGCCACAGUGGGACUGGGAUACGGCCCAGACUGCUACGGGAGGCAGCAGUGGGGAAUAUUGCACAAUGGGCGGAAGCCUGAUGCAGCGACGCCGCGUGGGGGAUGACGGCCUUCGGGUUGUAAACUCCUUUCGACCGCGAGGAAGCCACCUGGUUGGAAGGGUGGUGACGGUAGUGGUAGAAGAAGCACCGGCUAACUACGUG
rnacentral:rRNA from 1 species